rnacentral:rRNA from 1 species
AAUGAACGUUGGCGGCAUGGAUUAGGCAUGCAAGUCGAGCGAGAAGUGUAGCAAUACACGGAAAGCGGCGGAAGGGAGAGUAAUACGUGGGAAUCUGCCCUUAGACCUGGGAUAGCAGCGGGAAACUGCUGGUAAUACCAGAUAAUGUCUAUGGACCAAAGGUGUGAUUCCGUCUAGGGAUGAGCCCACGUCCUAUUAGCUAGUUGGUAGGGUAAUGGCCUACCAAGGCGAUGAUGGGUAGCGGGUGUGAGAGCAUGACCCGCCUCACUGGGACUGAGACACGGCCCAGACACCUACGGGUGGCUGCAGUCGAGAAUCUUCAGCAAUGGGCGCAAGCCUGACCGAGCGAUGCCGCGUGCGGGAUGAAGGCCUUCGGGUUGUAAACCGCUGUCGAGGGGGAGCAACUUCCAUAGAGUUAUCUUUAUGGAUUGAGUGAUCCCUGGAGGAAGGACGGGCUAAGUUCGUGCCAGCAGCCGCAGUAAAAC